rnacentral:lncRNA from 1 species
AUUGCCUUUGUCCCCCUGGAUGGAGCGGACGCCUCUGUGACAUCCGAAGCUUGCCCUGCAGGGAGGCCGCAGCCCAGAUCGGGGUGCGGCUGGAGCAGCUGUGUCAGGUGGGUGGGCAGUGUGUGGAUGAAGACAGCUCCCACUACUGCGUGUGCCCAGAGGGCCGUACUGGUAGCCACUGUGAGCAGGAGGUGGACCCCUGCUUGGCCCAGCCCUGCCAGCAUGGGGGGACCUGCCGUGGCUAUAUGGGGGGCUACAUGUGUGAGGUAAGGGGGCGCUCCCCAGGAGAGGGAAGAGGAGGUGGGCAUGCUUGGG